GGGAGACACACCGGAUUAAAUUGGGAGCACAAUACAUACACACUGCACAAAGAGACGGAGAUUACAGAAUUCGGUGACCAACGGAUUUGGUUGCAGAUGUGGGGCAGUCCCUCUGGCUGGGGUGCAGUUUCUCAUCCUUCUCUGGUGAGUGACUAGAUGGCUGCGGUUUCGUAGCAAAAAGCAUGCCAUGGUAUAUAUCUAGGAAAUAAAUAUUUUUUUGUGAAACUAGGGUUGUACACAUCUAACACACAGGCCACACGAACUGUACAGCUCCCACUCUAACGCACAUCCCCCAAAU